rnacentral:lncRNA from 1 species
AGCUAUGAUAAAAUCUAUUUUUGUUAUAUUAACAAAGUUACCCUCACUUUUUUUAUUAAAUUCCAAAAAUAUCCUUAAUAAACAUUAUACAUUAAUUUUUGUUGCCUUAUUAGAAUUCCUCCAUUAUUUUAAAUGCAACUCCAUUUUUUUUUGUUUAUGUGAUUUAAUUAUUUUUUAAUGCGUUUUAUUUUGUUCAUUUUUUU